AGCAUACUACACAAAACCAAACACUCGUGUUUACAUCAAGCAUUGCGACAAGCAACAGACGGAAUGGCGGGCAUUGGAGGACACGAGCGAACGAAACAUAGCAAGGCUAGUUUAUCACGCAAAGAUAACGUUAGAUAAAGGUGAUGUUACACUCGUCGUUUGGUAUUCCGCCUCUUUUUUACGCAACAUUUUGUUUUGCAACAGGUUGCAGGAUUUUGAAGCAGGAUUAAAAUCAUUCAACAAAAAAUGAAUCCCACAAUCCAAACACAAACAAAUCUUGUUUUAGCCAUGCAAACGAAGUCGUGUCAACAAAAUGUGGGCGCGCGGAGCCUGGACUCUAGAAUUUUGUUGCAAAAACGAUCGGGGCAAGGCCGUGUGAUAUGUACGCCGAAAAUGGUGGCGUCAUUUUGUUGCGCGAAAAAACGAGGUUGCAAACUACGUGUGUAACAUCACCUUAAAGGGACUCUAGACAACAAUAUCACGUGGUUAACAUUCAACAUCAGCAAAAACAGCACACAACACAGGCAGCCUGAAUCCUUGUACACAACACCGUCAAACUCCAGCACGGCUCUGCCAAAAGGGUCACGUGGCACACAACAGUAGCACAGAGAGCCCACCUCUACGGUUGUUUUUUUAGCUUUGCGUUGUUGAUUAUUUUUAGUGCGUGCGCGCGUUUGUAUCUCUUGUCUACUUUUUCGGCGCCUGGAGCUUUCUGGCGCUCUCUCAUUGGUUGGGUCUGCUGCAUUAGGCAGUACACAACACAAGCAAGGCUGGGACUUAAAGUCUUAUAACAGCAGAAGAAACCUUUAAGACGAGAAAACCUUUUUUAAAAGGUUUAAAAACGAGCGCUGAACGUAACGAGCGCUCGUUUCCGCUCAGUACGCCCUGGGUCCCCGAGGAUGUUACUUGACCGGAUUUCCUAAGUGAACACGUAGGGGCGUCCCAUACAAGGCACAUUUUGGUCAAUUGAGGAGGGACGUCGUGGUUUUAUUGUCAGACUUUAGUCCAACAAAUUAUUUUUUUGCCCUUCUUUCAGUCCAUAAUAACGAUAUAUCAGUAAACACUUCAGAAUAUUUCCUUUUCUGGAAACACAAAUAUGGCGGCCUAUAUGGAUUAUGACGUCAUCAUUCAAGCCCCUCGCCUUUUACCGCCGGGAAGAUAUAUUUUUCGCCUUAAAAGCUUUUUCCCUUCUAUUUUUUGCAAUUUUAGAGCAUCCAGUGUGUUAGGUCAUCUUUCCAAGAUAUCUCCUGCAAGGCUUCGAAGCGAUGGAGUAAAAAUAUGGAAGAUGAUAUUGACCAUGGCAAAGAAGAUGAAGAUAAGUAAAUAUAUAAGGAUGGACAGAGAGAUCAUUGAAUUUUCUCCUUUGUAUUCCACUCUUAGUGAUAAAAACUUAUACUAUUCUUUUUUGGAAUAUUUGUUUUAUUUGUUCAAGCUAUGUGUUAUUGACUAUUACACUUUUUGAAAGUAUGGUUACAAACUGACCCCCCAGUUCUGUAGCACUGUCAAGAAAAUAGGGGGGACCCCCUUCGUAUUUACAAAGACAAUGCUUAAAGAACGCUGCUUGGUGUAAAAAUGGUAUGAGAUUAUAUGACUUUCAACGUUAAUGGAGAUUUGCAUCCCAGCCUCUGUUACGGCCCUGCCCCUGCUCCAUGGACCCCUUGUUGAAAAUAGGUUUUCUAGUAAUAACAUGUUUUCUAGCGAGGGAAGGAUUUUUCUACUUUUUGUUUGAUCCGAGUAUAAACCAAGAGCAUGGAUGAAGGUUGGUUAAAAAGUUUCUAUGUAUUAAAUCCCCAGAGCUAACACAG